rnacentral:ncRNA from 2 species
CAGGCCGAGAGGCGCUGCAACGGACACCGGCGUGUCCGCCACGCUCGGCCUGAACCACGACUGCAAGGGCGCCUCCUAUGA